AUUUGUGAUAUGUCCUCAGUGUAAUAGAAAAUGACUCCUACUACCGAUAAUAUUUGAGGACAACAACCUCCACUUGGUAACAGCCAUUGGCACAAAAAUGGUAUCAUGGCGAAUGAACGGACUAAAGAAGCGAUCGCUGUGGUAACCCCCUAUGUUCAUCUCAUGAUUGUUUAUCACAUGAACAAUGUCUCCUCCAUAAUCUUUUGUUUAGUGACCGAAAAUAACUUAUUAUUGUUCUAGUAAAUUUAUCCGUGAUUCAUUAUCAUGACAUUGUUGAUUAAAAAAUCACCUUGUCUGUUGUUGGAAAAUAAAACGCAAAACUGAAUUCUAGUAA